GAGGGUGUAAUUAUUAGUUUACCACCACCCUAUACAGAUUACAGAAUACAGUUGAAAGAAAAAGAAAAAGAGAAAAAAGGGAAAGGGGGAAGAAACAGAAAAGCAGCAGUUAGUUUAGACUUUAGACGGAACGGAAGGAGGAAGAAGAAGAAGAAGGAAGAAUGAGUUGGCCCCUAGGGGGAGGGGGUUAUAAACCCUAAAUCGUCGUCGUCGUCGUCGUCGAUUUCUUAUUCGAUUUUGUUAUUGGUGAAAGAAAGAAGAGCGGAGAGCACUGGAGACGGCGGGUUAGGGAGGGAGUAUAUGAUGCUUUGCGAAGCAUUGCGUGAUCGAAUACAGGCAUGGCUUCGUGACUACGACAGGCUUCAAUAUUUGGCCGUCAUCCUCCUCUACAUUCAGAUUGCGUGCGCAUUGCUAGGAUCGCUGGGAGCAUUGUACAACGGAGUGUUGCUGAUCAAUCUGGCGAUUGCAUUGUUCGCUCUGGUCGCAAUCGAAAGUAGCAGUCAGAGCCUCGGCCGCACAUACGCCGUCCUUCUCGUCUGCGCCAUCUUCCUCGAUAUCUUCUGGUUCAUUCUCUUUUGUCACGAAAUAUGGAUUCUUACUCCCGGCGAUUAUACAGCUCUCUAUAUCUUUUCAGUCAAACUCACUCUCGUUAUGCAAAUCAUGGGCUUUUUUAUCAGGUUUUCCUCCUCAUUCCUGUGGAUUCAGAUCUACAGGUUGGGCCUUUCCUACGUAGUAGACCCUGCACCAACUCCUAGAGAUGCAGAUUUUGAUUUACGAAAUAGUUUCUUGAGUCCAACUACUCCCACGCCUGCUGUACUUAGACAAACCUCCGAUUCUAGUGAUGCCUUAGGAGGCUCUAUCUAUGAUCCAGCUUAUUACUCAUCACUCUUCGAAGAGAGCCAGAAACCAUGUGUGAGACAAAUCUAAAGGAUUUGGAUUUUUCUAAUAAGGUUCAACAUGCAAGAGAUGAGUAUGUGAAAGCCCUUAGGGAAAAUGUUUCGGUGGCAAUGGAUCUACAUCUGCUGCUGAAGCUUGUAAGGUGAAACCAUCUGUAGUCAGAUCUUUUCAGUUCAUAGAUGAGGAGAAGACAGCAAGCCAGCAUUCAGUUUAAUUUUGAAUAGGGUUAUCUCUGUUUUCUUUUUGGAUCCACUCCCAUUAUUGUUUAGAGGAUCAUUCACUUAGUCACUGCGGCCAGUCUGUGUAUGGGAGUGGGCUUGUACAGUCAAAACACAUUAUUAAGCAUUUUUUGCCCAGAUGGAAGCUGCCAAUCAAAGUAAAGGAACCGUGUGGUUUGGUAUGUCAAAAGCUUGGAUCAAGAUUCAAUCCCAUGCUCCUUGUUAUGUGGAUGAUGUUUCUUGGAUAUACAAUUACAUUUGGCAUGUUGAAUUGUCUGAGUUCAAUCGGGCAUGGUCCAUGUAAUGUGUAUCAACUUUCUGGAUUUGCAAUGAGGCAUAGAUUGUAUGCAGAUUGUGCGGCGGGGAAGUUGAGGUUAAGGAACCCAGGCAAUUGCCUUUUGUUCCCGUAGUAUAAAGAAUUGGUUGACCAUUCAGUUCAAUGGACCUUUGUUUUUGAUGGAUCAAACACUCCGUUACUAUAUCUUUUAACUAUAAUUGCAAGAUUUUUUCAAAUGUGUA